rnacentral:tRNA from 1 species
AUAUAGUAUAAACCCGCAUUACAUUCAAUUUCGACUUGAAAAAUAAUAAGUCAUUAUUUAUAUU